UGAGUAACACGUAUCAAUCCACCUUUAACAGGGGGAUAACCCGGAGAAAUCCGGACUAAUACCCCAUAAUAUGGGCGCUCCGCAUGGAGAGCCCAUUAAAGAGAGCAAUUUUGGUUACAGACGAGCAUGCGCUCCAUUAGCCAGUUGGCGGGGUAACGGCCCACCAAAGCGACGAUGGAUAGGGGUUCUGAGAGGAAGGUCCCCCACAUUGGAACUGAGACACGGUCCAAACUCCUACGGGAGGCAGCAGUGAGGAAUAUUGGUCAAUGGUCGGCAGACUGAACCAGCCAAGUCGCGUGAGGGAAGACGGCCCUACGGGUUGUAAACCUCUUUUGUCGGAGAGUAAAGUACGCUACGUGUAGUGUAUUGCAAGUAUCCGAAGAAAAAGCAUCGGCUAACUCCGUGCCAGCAGCCGCGGUAAUACGGAGGAUGCAAGCGUUAUCCGGAUUUAUUGGGUUUAAAGGGUGCGUAGGCGGCACGCCAAGUCAGCGGUGAAAUUUCCGGGCUCAACCCGGAGUGUGCCGUUGAAACUGGCGAGCUAGAGUACACAAGAGGCAGGCGGAAUGCGUGGUGUAGCGGUGAAAUGCAUAGAUAUCACGCAGAACCCCGAUUGCGAAGGCAGC
rnacentral:rRNA from 1 species